rnacentral:lncRNA from 1 species
AAUAAUCCACAUCAACCACAACAUUCAAUCACAAGCAACGCAACAAUCAUGUAAAACAUUAUUCAUGAUUUAGGAAAUUCUUAUCAUACUAUCAUGAAUCUUAAAAAUUUCUCUAUGAUUCAACAACCCUAAUUCCUAACAUCAUAAAGUUGUAACUAGAACCCACCUCAUGAUUGAUGAAGAUGUUAAUGAGAUUGAUGAAAUGGAGCUGAAGUUGGUGAUGAUGAUGAUGAGAGGUAGCUCCCUCCACGAGUUUCUUAUUCUUCUUCUCAUUCUUUCUCUUC